UUGGUUAAGUUAGAAAGGGCGCACGGUGGAUGCCUUGGCACUAGGAGCCGAAGAAGGACGGGACUAACACCGAUAUGCUUUGGGGAGCUGUACGUAAGCGUUGAUCCAGAGAUUUCCGAAUGGGGGAACCCACUAUCUUUAGUCGGAUAGUAUCCUUACGUGAAUACAUAGCGUGAGGAAGGCAGACCCAGGGAACUGAAACAUCUAAGUACCUGGAGGAAGAGAAAGAAAAAUCGAUUUCCUGAGUAGCGGCGAGCGAAACGGAAAGAGCCCAAACCAAGAAGCUUGCUUCUUGGGGUUGUAGGACACUCUAUACGGAGUUACAAAAGAAAGUUAUAAAUGAAGCGGUCUGGAAAGGCCCGCCAAAGACGGUAACAGCCCGGUAGUUGAAAUGGCUUUCCCUCCAGAGUGGAUCCUGAGUACGGCGGAACACGUGAAAUUCCGUCGGAAUCCGGGAGGACCAUCUCCCAAGGCUAAAUACUCCCUAGUGACCGAUAGUGAACCAGUACCGUGAGGGAAAGGUGAAAAGCACCCCGGAAGGGGAGUGAAACAGUUCCUGAAACCGUGUGCCUACAAGUAGUUAGAGCCCGUUAAUGGGUGAUAGCGUGCCUUUUGUAGAAUGAACCGGCGAGUUACGAUUUGUUGCAAGGUUAAGCGGAAAAAGCGGAGCCGUAGCGAAAGCGAGUCUGAAUAGGGCGCAUAAGUAACAGGUCGUAGACCCGAAACCAGGUGAUCUACCCAUGUCCAGGAUGAAGGUAAGGUAAUACUUACUGGAGGUCCGAACCCACGCACGUUGAAAAGUGCGGGGAUGAGGUGUGGGUAGCGGAGAAAUUCCAAUCGAACUUGGAGAUAGCUGGUUCUCUCCGAAAUAGCUUUAGGGCUAGCCUCGAGGUAAAGAGUCAUGGAGGUAGAGCACUGUUUGGACUAGGGGCCCUUCUCGGGUUACCGAAUUCAGAUAAACUCCGAAUGCCAUGUACUUAUACUCGGGAGUCAGACUGCGAGUGAUAAGAUCCGUAGUCGAAAGGGAAACAGCCCAGACCACCAGUUAAGGUCCCCAAAUAUAUGUUAAGUGGAAAAGGAUGUGGGGUUGCUUAGACAACCAG
rnacentral:rRNA from 1 species